rnacentral:tRNA from 1 species
CGGAUAUAGUUCACCGGUAGAACAUCAGCUUCCCAAGCUGAGAAAGCGGGUUCGAUUCCCGUUAUCCG